GGUAACAUCAAAUCGUACCCCAAACCGACACAGGUGGUCAGGUAGAGAAUACCAAGGCGCUUGAGAGAACUCGGGUGAAGGAACUAGGCAAAAUGGUGCCGUAACUUCGGGAGAAGGCACGCUGAUAUGUAGGUGAAGUCCCUUGCGGAUGGAGCUGAAAUCAGUCGAAGAUACCAGCUGGCUGCAACUGUUUAUUAAAAACACAGCACUGUGCAAACACGAAAGUGGACGUAUACGGUGUGACGCCUGCCCGGUGCCGGAAGGUUAAUUG
rnacentral:rRNA from 1 species